UACAGAGGUCUCAAGCGUUGUUCGGAUUCAUUGGGCGUAAAGGGUGCGUAGGCGGCGCGGUAAGUCGGGUGUGAAAUCUCGGGGCUUAACUCCGAAACUGCAUUCGAUACUGCCGUGCUUGAGGACUGGAGAGGAGACUGGAGUUUACGGUGUAGCGGUGAAAUGCGUAGAUAUCGUAAGGAAGACCAGUGGCGAAGGCGGGUCUCUGGACAGUUCCUGACGCUGAGGCACGAAGGUCAGGGGAGCAAACGGG
rnacentral:rRNA from 1 species